AAACUGUGGUGAGGGCACUGUCUGAGCACACUAUUGUAUCUAUCCCAAGCUUCAAAUAGAGAUUCUGAGUCAGCUUGUUUGAAACUUGCAAUCAAAUUCCUAUGAGC